GAAUGAUGAAUGAAACAAAGAAGAAAAUGCUCAUGGAGAACGUAAAAUGAGAAAAAGGGCAGGAAGAAGUGUCUUUUACUGUGUUUUUGCAAUUUUCUGUUGUUGUCA
rnacentral:ribozyme from 1 species